rnacentral:lncRNA from 1 species
CUGGUAAAGAUGAUCGAAUUGCUAUCCAAAGAAUAGAUCCCUACAUCGGAUUGACGACAAAUUGUGCCGACGCAGAGAAUAAACGUUUCAAUUUUGGUAAGUUGUUUUUAUUUGUAUGCAGUUAAUUUGUUUGAUGUUUUUGGGGGCUUCGGUGUCCCAGUCGAUCAGAGCAAACGCCUUUCACCUCUGAGAUCGUGGGUUGGAUUCUAGCUACGGACUCAUGUGAAAAUAGUCCGUCAACGCUCUGCCGAAAGUCGUGGGUUUUCUCCGGGUGAUCCGGUUUUCUCCCACUGGGAAAAUUGACAGAGUGGGUUAAACACACUUAGGAAAGUAAUAUCCCAAUUGUUGUAAAGAUAAAUAGUCUAGGCUACGUAAAUAACAUAAGCGUAAUACUUGAUGUAAUCGGUCACUGAAAAGGCCCCAAUGGGAAGUGAGCUGAAUAAUGUAAUGUAAUAAUAAAAAGUUCUUAUUUGUGUUUUUGCAGUCUGCAAUCUGCAUUUUAUAUUUACUUAUUUGAAAUUUCACAUCCACCAUUGCCGGUACAAGUUGUUUACGUCUAGCCUCUAGGUUAUUAAGACUUAGCUGUAUAUAGUAAAAGGUUUAUACCUUCUUUAUACAUAAAAGAAUGAUUCAGUCACCUCCCGAACUGCUGACGCCUUAAUUUUGUCCACAAAAGCAAAAACUGUAUAUAUUUUAUGUCAUCGAUCAAGAAUUAAAACGUAGCGGACCGAAGAUAGAGCUUUGAUAAACUCCACGUAUAAUUAGAUUUUCCUUUAUUUACGAAGAUUCACAAUCUGGCGCUACCUUAAGGCAUACACCUGCGCAGAACGUUAUUACGUAGAUCACGAGCAAGACUCAAUUCCAAAUAUUUCAUAUAAUGCCGAAUUUCUGUAUAAGAAUAUCAUGUCCAGCAAUGGUGCUUUUGCAUUUUGUAUACAACGAACCUCUUCAUUUCUAAAUUUUUGUUCUGUUCCAGGUUCAGUGACGUGUCAUGGAAAUAUGGUAGAGAAUGCCAACUGUCCUAAAGAUCAGUACAUGGUGGUCAAGACUGCAUCGUACCGUAGAUUGUCUGACACAAAGACAUGCGGUUUGAGUGAUGAUCAUAGUUGUGAAGUUGAUGUAACAUGUCUUGUUAAGAAACAAUGUGAUGGUCAACAUGAGUGUAAUAUAACUGUGAAUGAUAACUUGUCCUCUGGUGAUCCAUGUCCUGGAUUGACAAAAUAUCUUUACUUUGAAUAUCAAUGUAAUGACACUAG